CAGGGAGCCAGCACGCCCAGACUGCCCACCACCCACCUCUGCGUCGGCCCGCUCUCCCCAGAAGGAACAAUUCUGAAUUAGGCUGUUUCCAUCCCACUGCUCCAGGCUCUGCCGGUCCAGCUAAGCGCGGUGCCCCAGGGCAAGGUGUCGGGAGUCAGCUGUCUCUGCCCACCCCGGGGCGUUGCUUCUCCAGGUCUGAGUCUCUUCCUGCCUGGAAAGCCA